UCUUCAUAUCUCAGCUCUCUUUCUUUCUUUCUUUUUAUUCUCCAAUUUUCCAUUUUCCUUUGCUAUUUCAAGCAAAGUCAUCACUUUUUACUUAUAUACAACCUGCCUACCUACUAGAUCUUGUUGUUGGAUACAAAACUUACUUGAUCAAGGAACAGAAAGAAUAUGGGUUUGUAAACCGCUAGCUAGCUGCAGGCUUGUAUGAAAGCCAUGAAGAAGCCAUUAAAAGGGAAGAAGUACUAGGGAGAUUACACCAAUGAAACAAAGAAACCAGAAGCAAAGUAAUUCAAAAGUUAGACGCAACACUGUACCAAAUUUGCCUAGUUUGAAGCAUUAGUCAAGACCAUAUGCCGCAAAUAUUUGAGGAUGGGGAAGAUAGUGAAUCAAAUGAUUAGAUUGUAGUGGUAGGCUUUUGUUUAUGAUUGUGACAUUUAGACUUAAACUAUUAGAAUUGAUUUUGUGUUUUGGAUUGUGACAUUUGGACUAGUAUUGAAAUGCUUAAACUAUUUGA